rnacentral:rRNA from 1 species
AGAGUUUGAUCCUGGCUCAGGAUGAACGCUGGCGGCGUGCCUAAUACAUGCAAGUCGAACGAAGAUGUUCUUGAGUUUACUCGAGAGCUCUUAGUGGCGAACGGGUGAGUAACGCGUUGGUGACCUGCCCUAAAGAAGGGAACAACCUCGGGAAACUGAGGCUAAUACCCUAUGUGCUUCUUAAGAUUUGACGCUUUUGAAGUAAAGGUUCUGAGGACGAAAGACUUCAGCGCCGCUUUAGGAGGGGCCUGCGUACCAUCAGCUAGUUGGUAGGGUAAUGGCCUACCAAGGCGAUGACGGUUAGGGGACCUGAGAGGGUGACCCCCCACACUAGCACUGAAACACGGGCUAGACAUCUACGGAUGGCAGCAGUAGGGAAUAUUGCACAAUCGACGAAAGUCUGAUGCAGCAACGCCGCGUGUGCGAUGAAGGCCUUCGGGUUGUAAAGCACUUUUCUGAGGGAAGAGAAAGGACGGUACCUCAGGAAUAAGUCUCGGCUAACUACGUGCCAGCAGCCGCGGUAAUACGUAGGAGGCGAGCGUUAUCCGGAUUUAUUGGGCGUAAAGCGCGUGCAGGUGGUUUGGUAAGUUGGGUAUGAAAUCUCCUGGCUUAACUAGGAGAGGUUGCUCAAAACUACCAGACUAGAGGACGAUAGAGGAAGGUGGAAUUCCCGGUGUAGUAGUGAAAUGCGUAGAUAUCGGGAGGAACACCAGUGGCGAAGGCGGCCUUCUGGGUCGUUCCUGACACUAAGACGCGAAAGCAUGGGUAGCAAACGGGAUUAGAAACCCCGGUAGUCCAUGCCGUAAACGAUGUGAACUUGAUGUCGGUGGCGUAAAAGUCAUCGGUGUCGUAGUUAACGCGAUAAGUUCACCGCCUGGGGAGUACGAUCGCAAGGUUAAAACUCAAAGGAAUUGAUGG